rnacentral:rRNA from 1 species
UACGUAGGGGGCAAGCGUUGUCCGGAUUUAUUGGGCGUAAAGAGCGUGUAGGCGGCCAGGUAGGUCUGCUGUGAAAACUCGAGGCUUAACCUCGAGAUGUCGGCGGAAACCAUCUGGCUAGAGUCCGGAAGAGGAGAAUGGAAUUCCCGGUGUAGCGGUGAAAUGCGCAGAUAUCGGGAAGAACGCCCGUGGCGAAGGCGGUUCUCUGGGACGGUACUGACGCUGAGACGCGAAAGCGUGGGGAGCGAACAGG